AUACGGAAGGUCCGGGCGUUAUCCGGAUUUAUUGGGUUUAAAGGGAGCGCAGACGGGCUGUUAAGCGUGACGUGAAAUCCGGGGGCUCAACCUUCGGCUGCGUCGCGAACUGGCGGCCUUGAGUGGACGGUAGGCAGGCGGGAUUCGUGGGGUAGCGGUGAAAUGCUUAGAUAUCACGAAGAACCCCGAUUGCGAAGGCAGCUUGCCGCAGUCUUACUGACGUUCAUGCUCGAAGGUGCGGGUAUCGAACAGGAUUAGAUACCCUGGUAGUCCGCACGGUAAACGAUGGAUGCCCGCUGUUGGCGACACACUGUCAGCGGCCAAGCGAAAGCAUUAAGCAUCCCACCUGGGGAGUACGCCGGCAACGGUGAAACUCAAAGGAAUUGACGGGG
rnacentral:rRNA from 1 species